GGAGAUGGCAGGCGCCGGCUGAAGAGACCGGAAAUAGGGGUGCUGUGACCCGGACAGCAGCCCCACGGAGAUGGGAGUCCCCAGGACCAGGCUGUUCAAGGGGUGCUGCGGAUCAGGUGGCAGCCCCAAGGUUGCAGGGCUGCCAGGAUGCCGGCGGUCGGGAGGCCGUGUCGGUUGCAGCCCCCCUGGGAGCUGGGAGGCUCCAGGGUGAUUCCGGAGAGGAGGAGGAGUCCGAGGAGGAGCGUGAAGCUGAUGGAGAACGGCCCCUGCGCCUCCCCUCAUUUGGUG